rnacentral:tRNA from 1 species
GAAACCUUAAGUUAAUAAGACUAAUGGCCUUCAAAGCCGAAAGUGUAGCAAAAGUUACAGGUUUUG